CGCCGGGUAAUUCCAGCUCCAAUAGCGUAUAUUAAAGUUGUUGCAGUUAAAAAGCUCGUAGUUGGAUUUCGGAAGGUCUUUAGUGGUCCGCCCCUUCGGGGAGCGGGUCACUGGCCUCCUAUGUUCCUAACGGUCCUCAUCCGCGAGGGUGGGGAAUCAACCGCUAGGAUCGUUUACUUUGAGGAAAUUAGAGUGUUCAAAGCAGGCGUAACUCGCCUCCGAAUACGUUAGCAUGGGAUAAUGGAAUACGACUUCGGUCUUGUUUCGUUGGUUUCGCUUGGCUGAAGUAAUGAUUGAUAGGGACAGUUGGGGGCAUUAGUAUUUAGUUGUCAGAGGUGAAAUUCUAGGAUUUACUAAAGACUGACCAAUGCGAAAGCAUUUGCCAAGGAUGUUUUCAUUAAUCAAGAACGAAAGUAGGGGGAUCGAAGACGAUCAGAUACCGUCGUAGUCUCUACCGUAAACUAUGCCGACCAGGGAUCCGGAGAGUUUGCAUGGAUGACUCCCCGGGCACCUUGUGAGAAAUCAUAAGUGUUUGGGUUUUGGGGGGAGUAUGGUCGCAAGGCUGAAACUUAAAGGAAUUGACGGAAGGGCACCACCAGGAGUGGAACCUGCGGCUUAAUUUGACUCAACACGGGGAAACUUACGAGGUCAGGACACUGUGAGGAUUGACAGAUUGAAAGCUCUUUCUUGAUUCAGUGGGUGGUGGUGCAUGGCCGUUCUUAGUUGGUGGAGUGAUUUGUCU
rnacentral:rRNA from 1 species